CGUAGGGUGCGAGCGUUAAUCGGAAUUACUGGGCGUAAAGCGUGCGCAGGCGGUUUUGUAAGACAGGCGUGAAAUCCCCGGGCUCAGCCUGGGAACUGCGCUUGUGACUGCAAGGCUAGAGUACGGCAGAGGGGGGUGGAAUUCCACGUGUAGCAGUGAAAUGCGUAGAGAUGUGGAGGAACACCAAUGGCGAAGGCAGCCCCCUGGGUCGAUACUGACGCUCAUGCACGAAAGCGUGGGUAGCAAACAGGAUUAGAUACCCUGGUAGUCCACGCCCUAAACGAUGUCAACUAGGUGUUGGGUGGGUAAAACCAUUUAGUACCGGAGCUAACGCGUGAAGUUGACCGCCUGGGGAGUACGGCCGCAAGGUUAAC
rnacentral:rRNA from 1 species